ensembl:lncRNA
UCUGACUUUGCUUUAAAGUCUCUUCCGUCCGCGGCUGCUGAGGCUACCCUGAAUACUCUCUCUGCCCAAGUGAUUCCCCUUCUGUUCUCAUCUAUUUCUUGGUGAUGAAGGCUCCCCCAGAACGUUGGAGCUGGGCCUGUAGUCGUUUCUGUCUCCAGAGCAAGGAUCCAACUUCCCUGGCUGGUUCGUUUCCCAGGAUUCCCUUCCUCUCAAGACUCUAAAAGGGUUUACUCUUGCUUCUCCUGGUUCUCCUCUCAAGACUCUAAAAGGGUUUGCUCUUGCUUCUCCUGGUUCAACAGCAUUCCAUGUCACUAUGCUUGCAGUCUUGUUUCCUUUCCAAAAUGUCUCCUUCACAGUAAAGCAAGUUUUUGGAAUAAGAAUCCACCAUUUAGUAAAAGUUAUUGGGAAAACCAGAAAGCAAUUUGGCAGAAACUAGAUAUAGACCACUGUCUUAUACCAUUUACCAAGAUAGGUAUUGAAAUGGAUGUAUGACCUAGAGAUAUUAUAAACAAAUUGAGAAAAACAGGAUAUGCGUAAAAGAAGAAUUUAUGAAUAAACAAGAGAUAGAAAGCA